ACUGCUCAGUAACACGUGGAUAACCUGCCCUGCGGUGGGAAAUAACCCCGGGAAACUGGGGGUAAUGUCCCAUAGGCUACGGAUGCUGGAAUGCUCUGUAGCUCAAAGAUUUAUCGCCACAGGAUGGGUCUGCGGCCGAUUAGGUAGUUGUUGGGGUAACGGCCCAACAAGCCUUUGAUCGGUACGGGUUGUGGGAGCAAGAGCCCGGAGAUGGAUUCUGAGACACGAAUCCAGGCCCUACGGGGCGCAGCAGGCGCGAAAACUUUACAAUGCGGGAAACCGUGAUAAGGGAACUCCGAGUGUCCGUCAAUGCGGACUGUCCGUAUGUUUAAAAAGCAUGCGAAGAAAGGGCCGGGCAAGACCGGUGCCAGCCGCCGCGGUAAUACCGGCGGCUCGAGUGGUGGCCACUAUUACUGGGCUUAAAGCGUUCGUAGCUGGGUUGUUAAGUCUCUUGGGAAAUCUAUCGGCUUAACCGAUAGGCGUCCAAGGGAUACUGGCAAUCUAGGGACCGGGAGAGGUGAGGGGUACUUCAGGGGUAGGAGUGAAAUCCUGUAAUCCUUGGGGGACCACCUGUGGCGUAGGCGCCUCACCAGAACGGCUCCGACAGUGAGGGACGAAAGCUGGGGGAGCAAACCGGAUUAGAUACCCGGGUAGUCCCAGCCGUAAACGAUGCGCGUUAGGUGUAUCGAUGACCACGAGUCAUCGAGGUGCCGAAGGGAAACCGUGAAACGCGCCGCCUGGGAAGUACGGUCGCAAGGCUGAAACUUAAAGGAAUUGGCGGGGGAGCAC
rnacentral:rRNA from 1 species